AUCACAAAUAAACACUUGAACCGUUUAUUUUGAAAGUGGUAUAAGUCACUUCACAGGUCUUGUGCUUAAAUGACCGGUUAUUUGUAUCUGAUCGCGUCCGCUAUUCGUUCAACUUCAUCAACCAAAGGUAGAAGGGUUUGUCGUUAGUUUAUGACGAUAUAGCGAUUUACAGAUGCAUUCGGUUACAAGUAGCCGAUUAUUUAAGUACAAGUGGUUUCUAAUGACUU